CAAGCAGGCUGGGUGAUCGCGGUUCCGGUUCCCCGGGAUCGAGGAAAGUCCGCACUCCACAGAGCAUGGUGCCGGCUAACGGCCGGGCGGGGUGACUCGACGGCAAGUGCAACAGAGAGGCGUAUUGCCGCAGGGGGCAACCUUUGUGGCGAGGGUGAAACGGUGGUGUAAGAGACCACCGGCGGCGGCAGUGAUGUCGCCGGCCAGGCAAACCCCACCAGGAGCAAGGCCAAGCAGGGCGAAAGGCGCUCGUCGCCUACGGGGCUGCUCGUUCCGUCUGACGUCCGGGUAGGCUGCACGAGGUCAUCGGCAACGAUGGCCCCAGAGAGAUGAUCGCCGGGUGUUGGUCCGCCAACGCCUACAGAAUGCGGCUUAUAGGCCUGCUUGCUAA
rnacentral:RNase_P_RNA from 1 species